UACGUAGGGUCCGAGCGUUGUCCGGAAUUACUGGGCGUAAAGAGCUCGUAGGUGGUUUGUCGCGUUGUUCGUGAAAACUCACAGCUCAACUGUGGGCGUGCGGGCGAUACGGGCAGACUAGAGUACUGCAGGGGAGACUGGAAUUCCUGGUGUAGCGGCGGAAUGCGCAGAUAUCAGGAGGAACACCGGUGGCGAAGGCGGGUCUCUCGGCAGUAACUGACGCUGAGGAGCGAAAGCGUGGGGAGCGAACAGG
rnacentral:rRNA from 1 species